rnacentral:lncRNA from 1 species
ACGAGGGGCUGGCAGGGCCCCAGGGUCUACAAGGACCAUAUUCUCAGCUUUGGGAACGUCACCAAAUGCAAACAGGGGGCAAGAAGUCUGCAGGCAGCCAGGGGAGCUGGCCCGUGUCUAUAGCAGUGGUUCCAAGGGGCGAGGAGGGAUUGCCAAAUUGGGAAACUAAAGCUGUGAUGAGGAAUGCCUCAAGGUCCCUAAAAAAUCCCCAAAUUCACCAAAUCCUCCCAGCUGCUGAGGGCCUUCCUUGGUAGGGAGGUGCUCAGGGCCAGAGGGCUGCUUCUCUCCUAGGGCAUCCCGGGGCUGAAGGGCUUCAGAGGGGACCCCGGACACAAAGGACCCAAGGUGGGUGACACGUGCCAUGCUCAUCACCUCGUGGGGGACAUGUGGCCUUGGGAGCUGUCUGUGGGCAGACACGUGCCAUGGUGCUGCAGCGCCUUCCUUGCCCAUUCCAUCACGCACUGCCCACAGAGCGGGAUUCCCCAUGUCAGUCCCCAGGGUGUCCCCAGCCAUUCCCAACCUCUCAUUGCUGCCACAGCUUUCCUUCCUCUCACAGGGUGAGAAGGGCAACAGGGGCCACGUGGGGCAGCGCGGGGACGAUGGCUUCAAGGGCAAGCAUGGACCUCAGGGCACUCCUGGGCGACCAGGACCCAAGGGAGAGCAGGUACUGGGGGGUGAUAGGGAUGAGAAAUGCAGCAGCAAACAGUAACGUGGGACAGGGGCUGGUUUGUGACCCCCUGUCCCUCUGCAGGGUGACACUGGCCCCCCUGGCCCGCGGGGGCUGCCUGGGCUCCCUGGGAAGCCGGUAAGUGCUUCAGCCCCCAAUGUGUGGGGUCUGAAGGGGCAGCAGCUCCUGCUCAGAGCCCCUUUGCUCUUCUCUUCCAGGGCUUGCCAGGACUGAAGGUGAGUGCAGGGUGAGGACGGCCCCAUGCCUGCUCUGGGAAUGCAAGGCAGCACCUCACCUCUUUGCUUAUCCAUCAUUCUCCUCCUCACCCUUUGUCAGGGACUAAAAGGGUUCCUGGGCCACCCAGGCACCAGGGGCAAGCCAGGACCACCGGUAAGCAGAGCCACCAGCGUCCCUUGUGCUCCCCAUGGGGACCCAAAGCAGUGCUUGGUGCCACGUGGAGGGGCAGUGCUGCGAGGGCAGCGGUGUCACCACUGUUAUCAUUGUCACCCAGGGGCUGGCCGGUCCCCCAGGUCCCAGCGGGCCAGCGCUGAUGCUAUCUGAGGAGGAGCUGUGGGUGUGUGAUGCUGUCUGGGUCCGGGAUCUUCCACCCCUGGCACCCUGCUGCCUGGUGGGGGGGGAGGGGAAAGGGGGCUAUCCCUCCCCAUCACCUUUCAGCACCUGAUUUAUCCCGCCGACCGCCUGAACCGUACCACAGUGCUGGCUCUGCUGGACACGCUGAGCCACGAGCUGAGAGCACUGGUUGAGCACCCGGAUGGCACCAAGGAGAACCCUGCGGCCACCUGCAAGGAGCUGCUGCUGGCCCACCCCAACCUGCCCGAUGGUACAGGGCUGCCUUGUGCCAGGGGAUGAGUGGGGCAG